CAUAGCCACAAGGGGAGCAUGAUGUUAUUGAAGGCUGCUCCCUCUUCAUCUUUAAUUAAGUGAAGAAGCCGAAGCCAUAACGUCACCCCGGCCACGCCCACUAGGCAACGCCCACUGCAUAGGCCACACCCACUUGACGUCCUGUACGGAGGACGUCGAGUGAACAGGCCAGAGUUCAAUAGGUAGACGGCGCAGCAAGCCACCCGGGCCUUAGCCCGGGGGGCUUGAAGUAGAUCACGGUAUUUUCCUCUCACUCGCGUUAGAAACAAUUCCCUCCGUAUAGCUUCAGUUACCAUACCGAAACAUGCCGACGACUUUAUAAUAAAUGAAGUGAGUUAAAGCAACCCGGGAUUGGACAACUUUCUUCGAGAAUAUGCAACAAUUUGGUGACCCGCGACGUUUGGACGAAAGUCUCGAAAAUCCCGGGGGGCGCGACGCUAAAACAACUUCAACAGGCCACACACGUCUGAGAAGCAAAAAGUUCCAGAACCAGAUGCAGACACACCCGGAGCCUACAAACUACCACCGCCGAGCAAGGACUAACAGUCACAUGAGGAGAUCAAAUAACAGCAGGAUUUGAAUCGCACCGGAUGGGUUGGUGGCCAGGGCACUGGUAUGAUUACAAUCCCUCAGGCCACCUGUUGCUGACACGACGACGACGGAGAACCUGUUUGGAGGCUCCCAUGAUGUAGGAGUAACCUCUCUGAGUUGAGCCCUUGACAAGGAGGGAUGAGUCUUGGGUUCAUGAACUACAGGCCCGACGGCGACAGAAUCCAUGCCCAAACCACCCACAUGCAACAGCGAACCAAUGCACGAAGAUCACCUGAACCACCCGAAUCCAUGCUAGGCUAUCAAUAAUCUUGAAUUUUUUAAAUUGUAUUAUGACUACCAAUUUUUACUUUACUUUUGCACAUGAUGAAAAUUGUAUGACCUUGUAGCACAUGACCAAAAAGUAUUAGCUCAGGAUUUCUAUGGAUAGUUUUGUUUGUGUGCUGUUUGGCCAUGUGAUUGUAUGUUAACAAGAUUUGUGUUCAUUGUUGUAUUGUUAAAUAAUGACCUGUAUUUCCAAUAAGACCCACAACGUGAA
ensembl:lncRNA